GGAGUGACAAGAGAGGAGAAGAACGGAAGCGGAGGAGCGCGCCUGCGCGUCAUUCGCGGGAGCGCUUGUUAUGGAAGGCUCAGUCUCGGCUCGCCUGGGCAGUAGGCAACACGGCCGACGCCGAAGCACCGCGCCAAGUAUCCGACCGGGGAGCUCCGGGGACGUUCUAAAGAUAGAAAAGCGCGCGCCGCCGAUGCGCUUCGCGAGAGAAGCGCGUCGUUUCUCUCUCCGCGCGACAACGCGGCGGGCUUCCAUCGAGCGACAACGAUGAGGAGCUAACGUUCCGGAGAUCGAGAAGGUCUGAAGAUGUUUAAGGGACCGUGACUAUUUGCAUCUUCGCGAACUUUGUGAAGCAAGUGAAGUGAAUUGUACGGGUUCUUGAUGAAAGUCUCGAAUAAUUGAAGAGACAAGCGGUAUAAAAAUGACAGUUACAUGAAGAUAUGUCGUAUUAAACUUUGCGAGAAGUUAACGACGAGCCUAACGAGAUUCUGAAGAAGGGAAAACUGGAAUUAUUGUCGUGAAACAAUGUAAGGACAUCAUUUGUACGCUUAAUGAAUAUAUACGGGUCUUCGGGGAAGGACGGGAGAAAGUAGAAAGAAGGACGAGUAAAGGGGAUAAAGAGUCGACGAGGAGGGCAAACGCGGUUGAAUAAAAUGUGAGAUGGAAAUUUGAUAAUAUGGAGCAAAAAAAAACUGAGUAAACUCGGCAGCAAACAGAUAGAUACUGGUAAAACGAGGAAACGAGGCUAUCUUUCACGCUGAAGAAAACGCAGAGUUGUAAGAGAAAGAAGAAGCAGAGACGUUUAAAGAAAAUUGGACAAAAUUGCUGGAGGAAGACAAUUACAUAGGUAUCCCCGGUGAAGAUAAAUAAAACGCGGACUCGCGUAUGUAUACUAGCGUUAAAGGUGAGGAAAAAUCGAUAGUGGAAGAUUUAGGACCGGAAGCGGUAAAGUGUAGAAACCUUGGGUGAAAA